GACAGAGGGUGCAAACAUUGUUCGGAAUUACUGGGCGUAAAGCGCGUGUAGGCGGCUCUGCAAGUCGGAUGUGAAAUCCCACGGCUCAACCAUGGAAGUGCAUUCGAAACUGCAGGGCUAGAGUCCUGGAGAGGAAGGUGGAAUGCUUGGUGUAGAGGUGAAAUUCGUAGAUAUCAAGCGGAACACCGGUGGCGAAGGCGGCCUUCUGGACAGUGACUGACGCUGAGACGCGAAAGCGUGGGGAGCAAACAGG
rnacentral:rRNA from 1 species